GAGUUUGAUCAUGGCUCAGAACGAACGCUGGCGGCAUGCCUAACACAUGCAAGUCGAACGAGACCUUCGGGUCUAGUGGCGCACGGGUGCGUAACGCGUGGGAAUCUGCCCUUGGGUACGGAACAACAGUUAGAAAUGACUGCUAAUACCGUAUAAUGACUCCGGUCCAAAGAUUUAUCGCCCAGGGAUGAGCCCGCGUCGGAUUAGCUAGUUGGUGGGGUAAAAGCUCACCAAGGCGACGAUCCGUAGCUGGUCUGAGAGGAUGAUCAGCCACACUGGGACUGAGACACGGCCCAGACUCCUACGGGAGGCAGCAGUGGGGAAUAUUGGACAAUGGGCGAAAGCCUGAUCCAGCAAUGCCGCGUGAGUGAUGAAGGCCUUAGGGUUGUAAAGCUCUUUUACCCGGGAUGAUAAUGACAGUACCGGGAGAAUAAGCCCCGGCUAACU
rnacentral:rRNA from 1 species